AAUCCUUUUCUUGGGGGAUGGGUGUGGUCCUUUGGUGAUUUAGUUGAGGGCAUCACUUGGGGAGAGGGCGUGCUUGGGGUAUUGGCCCCACCUUUUCGGUCCUUUCGUACUAGAAAAAGUUGGUCAUAGAUAGAAACCGACCUGGAUUGCUCCGGUCUGAACUCAGAUCACGUAGGACUGUUAAUCGUUGAACAAACGAACCCUUAGUAGCGACUGCACCACUAGGAUGUCCUGAUCCAACAUCGAGGUCGUAAACCUCCUCGUCGAUAGGGGCUCUUGGGGGAGAUUGCGCUGUUAUCCCUGGGGUAGCUUGGUUCAUUGGUCAAUUUUAUUGGGUCUGGGUGCUUUUGGCACGUUGAGGGGUUGCUCUUGGUUAAGGAGUUUGGCCUUGUUUUUGGAGGGUUUGUUUUUCUCCAAGGUCGCCCCAACCUAAAAAUGUUAGCCAGCUUUUUGUGGUGGUGGGCCCGGUGGGUUUGAAGGGUUGGGUGUGUGGUGGCUAUUGAUUUUAAAGUUCCACAGGGUCUUCUCGUCUUGUGUGUUUAUUCCUGCUUUUGCACAGGGAGAUCAGUUUCACUGAUUGUCUGCAGGAGACAGUUAAGACCUCGUUUAGCCGUUCAUACAAGUCUCGAUUUAUGGGACAAUUGAUUGCGCUACCUUUGCACGGUUAGGAUACCGCGGCCGUNAACGUGGUGUCACUGGGCAGGCAUCACCUUCAAUACUUGUUUGGCUGAAGGCUAUGUUUUUGGUAAACAGUCGGGUCUUGGGGUUUGCCGAGUUCCUUUUGCAGAUUUUGAUCGUCCUAGUUUGUUAUGCGCUCCUGGGUUGGGUUAACAGGGUAUGUUCAAUGUUUGGCGGGGGGGGGGGUGUGGCAUUGAUAGUUAUGCUGUUAAUGGUUUUGUAAGUUGGCGCUUAAGGGGAUAUGUUAUCCUGGUUACUCGUUCUAGCAUUGAUUCAUCUAUUGUCAUAGGUUGGCCUGAUUAUAGGUGUAGGGAUUCAUGUUGUUUUUGGAUUUUUUGGUUUGGGAGCUUUGACGCAUUCUUUUGGGGUGGCUGCUUUAGGGCCUACGGGCUGGACGGGUGGGGUGGGGUUAUCCGCUGGCAGAGGUUGUAUCCUUUUUUAAAGGGGCUGUACCCCCUUUAAAUAGCUCUUAGUCUGUUACAUGGGGGCUUGGAUGAUUUGUUUAGGGGAAGGGACUAAGGGGGAACUUAAAUUCAUUUUUCAGGCAACCAGCUAUCACCCAGCUCGAUUGGCUUUUCACCUCUACUAACAAGUCAUCCCACUCUUUUGCGACAGAGACGGGUUUGUUCAGGGUAACUGCUUGUAAGUAGCUCGCUUGGGUUUCGGGGUGGCAGGCUUAAGUUCGCUUUGUCUGGGUGUUCUUGCUAGAUCAUGAUGCAAGAGGUACAAGGGUAUAUCUUUGCUGUGUAGUGCUUGAUUUUCAUUAUUAUUUCAUCUUUCCCUUGCGGUACUUUUUCUAUAGCGUCCGGGUUGUACUUUUCUAUCGCCUAUACUAAGUUUGGGGGAAUGUUUUGAUUGAAUAGGGCAGUGGAUUUUUGGUAGUGGUUGGUGGAGCUAGGGUAGGCU
rnacentral:rRNA from 1 species